GGAAGCAAAUCAGACUCAUCAGAUUCUGAAUUUUAAAAGCUGCUGAAUUUCUUACUUUGAAUUUUUUUUGCAUCAAAAUUACGUAUGUGAAUUUUUUAUGCCUGAAUUUAGCUCAUCAAAAUUCUAAAAACCAGUUAAAAAUUCAAUGUCUUCAAAAUUCACCAUCAAAAAAAUUCAAUGUUCAAAAUUCGCCAUCAAAAAAUUCAAUGUUCAAAAUUCGCCAUCAAAAAAUUCAAUGUUCAAAAUUCGCCAUCAAAAAAUUCAAUGUCAAAAAAUUCGCUGUCAAAAAAUUUGCUGUUCACAUCUGGGGGAAAUGCCACGUUGUUGCUCAUGGACUGGCUGAAGUAAGGCAGCAUCAGGAGACAAACAUGGAGGACAUAUGAGAACAGAGAGAACCCAACCAGCAGGUCACAGUUUAUCAUCAUCUAAUCAUCUCCUGAAGUCCAUAUGGUCCCUCUCUAUCUCCCCACACAUCCACCAACCACUGGAACACAUCUCCAAAGUUCUGCUGGACCAGCUCAGCUUCCCCUCAGAAGAAGUGCUGCCACCUGCCAGAUGAAGGAGCCUUUUGAGAGGCAGCUGGCAUCGUGAUUGGACUGUACUUUGGUCUGUUCCAAUCCAGCUUCAGCUCCAGAGACGGCAGACGGGACGAGUCAACGGAGGCCGGAUGGACGAAGACAUGCAGCUGAGUACAAUCCAGAAAACAACAGAGGAGGAGUGCAGCAGCCCAGAGCCAGAACAACCAGAGUAGCAUCAUAUGUCUCUUAGAAAACAUCAUAGUAGAGCCUUUGGUAUGAAAAAACACCAUCAUAUACAUCGUAUAUUGUACAAAUAACAAGUCAAAGGAAAGAGACAUACAUUGUAGAAUUGUAGUAAUUGUGGGCUGACUGAUUUACUGAUUAUCGGUAUUUUAUUUUUUGCUGAUUUACGGUAAUAAAUACAUUUAAAAAUGGC